CCCCCCUCAGUGCAUGACAGAAAGCUGGCAGGAAGCACGUGCCCCAGGGGAGGCAGGACUUCCCUCCACAUGUACACUCAAAUUGUGGCCAAGAACCAGAAGUUUGGGGAUGCUGAGCAUUCAUUGAUCAGCAUGAUGAGAUGGGCCUGGUGAGGUGCACAGCACCUUGCUGUGAGGAGCAGACAGAUUUGUGACAAAGAAGUGGCAAAAAAAGGGAAGAAAGCACAGCCAACGCCAGCGCAUCAGAGCAAGUAUUGGAGCCAGACCCAGAGGGUUAAAGCAACCCAGAAAGCCUGAGAGGGUCCCUCAGGACAUCUCCCAAGUGGACUCAGUGAGAUCAGCGAAAGUGAUUUCCUUUUUCCUGAGCACCCCGGAGCAGAAGAGGGAUGGCAGUGUGCUCCGUGCACUGGUGCUGUGCCUGAGGUUCACGCUUCGUGCCAGCACCUCCCCACCUCCUGCCAGCACAGCUCCCGCAGGUGACUUACUGAGGUCGGUGGAUUUGUCUUCCCCUUCAUUCCAGCAGCAGCGGCACAGCCUGCAAGGACAACACAGCCGUCACCUUGCGGCCCAGGAGGGCACCUCUUGCUCUCCUGACCCGCGUCCCCAUCCACCUUAGGGUUCCCAAGGAAAGGAAGACCCAACCAGACCCAAUCCCAUGGCACUGUACAGCUGCGGAAAUGAGGAGCGGUCCCUGUUCAAGCGUCUUCAUUGCCCUAGAAGUAUUGGUUUUGAUAAGUGCUCCUGAAGCUGGCAUGGUAAGGGUGGCUGCACCCAAGGGUGUUGAGCACCCUGAGUCUGGAGCUCAUCUGCCCCAGCACUCUGGGGUGCCGUGGGUGCACGUGCCAGCACGCCGACGGCUCGCUGGCUUGUUGGAAAGCUUCGCGCUCCGUUCCGAAGCCGCUGCUAGCCUGUCCCAAUUGGUGGCCAAAUGUCAGCGGAUUCAAAUCGCUCGCAGCACUUCGGCAGCCAGCUCCGUGCUCUUUCCAUCAGCACUGGCUCAGAUGACAGGGCAUGCUACCGACCCCCCGAGUAUUAUUAUCGUUAUUUAUUUGUGUCGUGGCAGUGCCUAGGAACAUCCCCGCUGUGGACCAGAGGCCCUUCAUGCCCUGCACUACCGCAGAGCAGGUCAUGCCACGAGCACUGCUGCGCACUGUGAGCACCCAGCGCUGCUGCAGCGGCCAGCAAUGGGAUGGCUGGGUGAAAGCAACAGGUCUGCAAUCAAGUGUAAUGGGAAGGAAUCUUUUCCCUGGGUUUUGCUCUGCAAGACCAACUGUCUCAAUUAGCUGGCUCCCCUUACAGUGUUUUUCAACUGUACAGAGACGAGCCAAGGACACAUGAACGUAACGUGAUCUAGGAAGAUUCCCCGAGUGCCAGGAAGUUGGGGCCGCUCACCCAGCCACUGCGCUGCCUUUCUCUUUAUGGAUGUGCGCUGGCUCCCCUCUGAAGCUGCGAGAAGAGUGCUUAGGGCUUGCUCGUGCUCGCAGCUCUUCACAUGAAUGCUGCAGUAACUGGGCUGCCCAUGGCUGGUCUCUUCCCUGGGGCUCUUUGCAAGACUCCGCUCUCCCACCCCAACUCCGCAGGGACCAUGGGUCAUUCUCCUUCCCAGUGCCCACCAGCUGCAGGAGGACUGUCUGGGCACAGACGUGCUGCCCUUGGCUCCACUCUGCCGCCUUCUGCCCCCUGUGCCUCAUCCCCCCCUGUUUAGGGACAAACAGCAGCAAUGGAUGCUCCCCGGGACCUGUGGGCAGCAGGGCAAAACAAGGCUGCAUCAGCAACCACCAGAAGAACAGGUAAUUAUUUGGUGAUAACGAGGCUUCGGGCUAUUUGCACGAGGUCCUGCUGGUGGCUCUGGUCCCUUUGCCUUCAGCUUUGCUCUCCCUGCUGGUGACUGCCCACGUCCCCCAGCCUGGUGCCUGUGCUGAAGAGGGAUCACCACCACGCGCGGCAGGCAGGGACACCGUGAGCCACCGGCGGUGCCCAGGGCAGGCUGGUGACCUGCUCAGGACCCUGCUGCGAGGCAGGGAGCGCUGCCUUCGCCCCCCUGGCGUGGUGCCCUGCCCAGGUGGCACGGCAAAAUCAUGUGAGGCGAGGAGCUGGGGGCUGACAGCAUCCCCCGGCCAAGUCAUCAUGACCAUCUGCUCCGCACCAUGCCAGGCUGAUGGCUGUUGCAAAGAGCGUGCGUGCCGCAGAGUGCUGGGGAUCUGGCAGUAACAGGAUCUGAAGGGCUUCGGAGAGGCGCUGACUCUGUCUUUUCAGCUCUGCCUUAUGUAUAUUUAUCUGCGUGUACAAAUAGAGAGGGCGGGACGGUUGGGUUUCGCUCAGCUGUGCUGGGGCGGGAUGGCCGAGCGGGUUGCUGAGGAUGAAGCUCCCGGUGCCCCGUCCCUCUCCUGUCUGCCCCAGCCCUGUGCCCUGCCCUGUGCUGUGGGAAGCGUAGGGAGGGUGAGGCAGGGGGUUGGGCAGCCAAUGCCUCGGUCAGAAACGUGACUUUUAUCUAAAACGCACACCUUGGCGAUGCAGAAAAAAGGCAGGAAAGGGCUUUAAUUCGGUGCUGUGCCUUAGUCAUCAAAUACCUGACUCCACAGUUUGAUUUCAGCCGAGCAAAUUAAUGCAGGCUGAUGCAAGGUUUUCUCUCAAAUCGGUUUUGAUUUUUUCAGGAAAACGUGCUAUCAAAGGUGGAAACUUGGCAAAAGGAUGGAAUGGGGACUGUGUGUGUAUGGUGCACUGAGGGGCUCAGUGCAGCACGCGGCUGGGCUUGGGGCUGUCUGUUAGGAAAUUUUCUAAUGUUCUGUCUUUGAGCUUUAGUCCUCUUGUUUCUUUUAACUUAUGAAAAGUGUAAGGCUGUUCCUAGCUCUGCCGAGAGCUUUCCUUUGUGAGGCUGCCCGGACAAACUUUGGGGACCUGCUCAGUGCUGGCUCUGGCCAGCCUAAGCCGACGUUAAUUCCAACUGAGAUUCAAAGGCUUUCACGAACAGACUUAAAGCCCAAGGUCGCUGCAACACAUCAGCAUUGAAAAGAACCACUUAAAAAUAAGUUGUGAUAGCUGAAUGGGAUGCUCUCUGGCUGACCAAGCCCUGGGCACCUUGACUGGCUGUGACCUUGUGCUGAUCUCCACGUGUCCCCACUUGAUCAGUUUCCUUCCCUCCAGGUCACGUUUGCGAAGCAAUCCCCUUCCCCUUGCUCCCUGCACCAGUUAAUGAGCCACCAGCUCGGGUUUUAGUUGAGAAAUGGGCUCCUAGUGCUUUUGGACUGAGGUGAGCUUGGAUACAUCACCUUUACGGUUUGGACACUGAAAGUCAAACAAAAAGAAACCUAAACCCAUCUGACUUAAAGGUCACGAGACUUGGUGUCAUGGUAUUUGGGGGUCUCGUGAUUUUUAAAUGUUAAUGCUGCAAGCCCCGAGCCUGGAAAUUCACUGCCAGUAGUUAUCAGCGGUGACUUGGAGGCUCAAGUUGUUUCUAACCUGCUUCAGCAGAGGCUUGAUGACAGAAAAUGACCUGUGAUCACGGCCUUCUGUACAAGGCCCAUUACAAAGUACAAAACUGGAGAAUUUCCCACACCCAGAGAAGCCCCUCGAGCUGCUGCCUGUGUCCUGCAGGGCGAAGGGGCUUGUCCGGGACCUUGGGGCUGGGCUCAGAGCUGCGUUUCCCCCAUCCCUUGAUUUCCUGAGCCUGCCCCUCUCCCCCCUUCCCAGCCCCAAAUCUGAUACACGCAUAUACGAAACGCAUAUGGAUAAAAUAUACAUAUUUUGAAACACCCCAGGAAAUAAUUAACGGGGGGAUACUACGAAAGGCCAGCCCCAUGCCAGUGCCUGCUGAUGGAUGGAGCAAACCCCUGGGCAUGUUGUUGUGGCCGACCUGCCCCCGGAGGGCUGCGGUGCACGGGGUCGCCUCGCUGCCCGCCGUGCUUCCUCCCCGGCAGCAAUCACCGAGGGCAUCAAUUAGUCGGGAAAGGCAACGCUCAACAACUCAGUUUCUUAGUAACGCAGGCAAACGAUUCGAUGCUGCCAUACAUGGCUCAAACAAGGCGAAUUUGUUUCCUGCACCUGCAUGCAGAGGGGCAGGCGCUCAGUGGUGCAAACCCGUCCAUUAAUCCGCGGGGCUGCGGGGCUGCGGGGAGCACCGGCUCCUGCUCGUGGGGUGCCUGCCCGCAUGGUGCGAGCCCUGUGCUGCCAUUAGCACCUGAUUAAUUCCCGUGCUUUUAAGGAAAUGAAGCCACGCAGAAAUCUGCCACCAGUAACAAAUUACGCGGUGCUGGUGCCGCCAAUUAAUGCUUCGGGAAAAAGUACUCUGCCUCAGACGCGGAGUGCUUUUCUGCCCUGAGUGAGUUUGUUGCUGACAGCAAACCAAGACCGCUGUCCUGCCCUGAAGCUGCUAAACCGGCAUUCAGACACCAUCCAGAGCGGCAAAGGGGAAAAGCUCUUCAAAACGGGGAUUUUUUUGGCAGCCUGCC